GCCACCAUGCCUUGCCUCUCCUCGGCCCUGUCCUCCGCCUCCACCUCCCCGCCUCCAAGCGAUGACGACGCCCCGAGAUCCAUGGUGAUGGCGGCUGCAGUGGCCCGAUGGAAGCGGUGGCCAUCCCUAGCCAUUGCCGCGUGCUUCUGCUACUCACGUUGACCAUGGAUCUGCAGCAGGGGCCUCCCUCCCCCGUUUCCCAGAGCCCGCAGCAGCUGAUUCGCCAUCCGGAGAUUCGGAGCAGCAAGCGCCGAACGAGGAGAGGGCGAGGACGGUGACCUGCUGGAGGCCCGAGCGCGACCCAGUCAACGGUGACGAUGCCCCACACAAGAUCAGUAGGAGCUCUCUGCCUCUCCAAUUCCAUGGACGGCGACGACCGGGACCCCAUGCUCAAACCCGACGAGCUGGAACGGCGAGGUCAUGCGAGCCAACCAUCAUGAUUCGCCACAGAACAAUAAGGUCUAUCUCAUAGACACCCAGAUUUUGUAUGCAAUUUUCUCAACACCCAGAUUGGAGCCUAAGGUUGGACAUUUUGAUGGGACUGCGGAUCUUUGGAUGUUGGUGCUGAGAUUGAUGUGGCCCUAGCUACAUGUAAGCGAAGCUUAUGAUGUCGAUCCUCCAGGCUGCACUGGUAUCGUGUUACCUCACAAACUGCUGGUGGUAAUUUUGCAUCACCACUUAUUAAUUUAUUUACUAUUGUUCCUGUCAAAUGCUUCUUGUCAAAUAGUAAUUCUUCAGCUGUAUGUUGAUGUUCUCUUAUGGUUGCAAGAGAAAUUUAUCCUUGGGCAAAAUGUCCACAUUCUUAGAUAGGUCUAUUACUGUCUCUUUCAUAGCCUUUUGGUUUUAUUUUCACUAUAUAUCUUUUUUGGUCAACUGUCAAGUGUCAACAAUAUGUGGAUAUUGUUCUUUAGGGUAUGCCCAAUUUCUUAAUGCUAUAUAUAAUAGGGUAGGUUCUGGGGUUGGGUAACCUAUUUUUUGCAAAUUGGUGGUACCCAAAGGUGUUGUUCUGCCAAAUAUUGACAAGUCGAUUCAUGCCUACUUACAAGGAUGGAAAAAUAAUAUACUACUGGACACAACUGUAGAAGUAUGUAGUUGUUUGUUUUCUCAGCGCAUAACUAUCCCUUCUUCUAUAUUAAUAACUUAUCAUCAAGGAUGACUGGACAUAAGAUAAUUGAAUGAAUCUUUUGCACUGCAGUAUAUAUUGUCCCCCAGUGUUUUUGUUUUUCUUGUUUGGAUGAUAUGCACAAGUACUUGACAUUUCAUUUUUUUACCCAUAACUUGGUUGUUUUAAUUAAUACGGAUCUACAUGAAACAUGUAUGUAGUAGAUACUAUGUUAUUCUCACUUGUAGCAGUGCAAGAUUUAAGAAUUUUGGACAGCAUGAGUUAUUCAUUUUUUAUAUUUGUUUCAAUUCUCUUAUUUUUACAAUCUAUUCAUAUCUACAAAUAUCUAAUGGUGUUGUAAAUAUGCUAGGUAUGAUUGCGUACCGGGCUACUUGGUGCUGCCCCAUCACAAUUUGCACUGACAUGAUAAUUUCCAUCAAGAGGGGCGACAGCAAGAACUUGAAUAGCAACUUCAAUAGUUUAAAUGUUCUGUUUGUGUGAACUGGAUUGUACUGUUUUCUAACUUUUCCAAGUGUUGUAUUUUGUCAAUCUAUGUUGUAAACUAUCAUUUCAUGGAGGAUUUUGUAACCUGCUAUGUUAUAGAUACUUGUGGAUAACUGCAUUUUGAUUCAUAUGCGCAUGUGAGACAGUUUUCAAAUGCCUGUCUCGCCAAAAUUGGCAUUACAAUGUGUGUAUGCAUUCUGCUUAAAA